GAUGAACGCUGGCGGCGUGCCUAAUACAUGCAAGUCGAGCGAACAGACGAGGAGCUUGCUCCUCUGACGUUAGCGGCGGACGGGUGAGUAACACGUGGAUAACCUACCUAUAAGACUGGGAUAACUUCGGGAAACCGGAGCUAAUACCGGAUAAUAUAUUGAACCGCAUGGUUCAAUAGUGAAAGACGGUUUUGCUGUCACUUAUAGAUGGAUCCGCGCCGCAUUAGCUAGUUGGUAAGGUAACGGCUUACCAAGGCAACGAUGCGUAGCCGACCUGAGAGGGUGAUCGGCCACACUGGAACUGAGACCCGGUCCAGACUCCUACGGGAGGCAGCAGUAGGGAAUCUUCCGCAAUGGGCGAAAGCCUGACGGAGCAACGCCGCGGGAGUGAUGAAGGUCUUCGGAUCGUAAAACUCUGUUAUUAGGGAAGAACAAAUGUGUAAGUAACUAUGCACGUCUUGACGGUACCUAAACAGAAAGCCACGGCUAACUACGUG
rnacentral:rRNA from 1 species